rnacentral:rRNA from 1 species
UAGGGAAUCUUCCGCAAUGGACGCAAGUCUGACGGAGCAACGCCGCGUGAGUGAAGAAGGAUUUCGGUUCGUAAAACUCUGUUGUUAGAGAAGAACAGCGCAUAGAGUAACUGUUAUGCGUGUGACGGUAUCUAACCAGAAAGCCACGGCUAACUACGUGCCAGCAGCCGCGGUAAUACGUAGGCGGCAAGCGUUGUCCGGAUUUAUUGGGCGUAAAGCGAGCGCAGGCGGUCAAUUAAGUCUGAUGUGAAAGCCCCCGGCUCAACCGGGGAGGGUCAUUGGAAACUUGUUGACUUGAGUGCAGAAGAGGGAAGUGGAAUUCCAUGUGUAGCGGUGAAAUGCGUAGAUAUAUGGAGGAACACCAGUGGCGAAGGCGACUCUCUGGUCUGUAACUGACGCUGAGGCUCGAAAGCGUGGGUAGCAAACAGG